rnacentral:miRNA from 1 species
UGGAUACCAGUAGACAGAUA